rnacentral:rRNA from 1 species
CAAUAGCGUAUAUUAAAGUUGUUGCAGUUAAAAAGCUCGUAGUUGGAUUUGUGGCGUACGGUGUGUUCCGGGCACUUGUUGUCUGAGUAACCUGCUGUUGCCAUCCUUGGGUGGAACCUGUGUGGCAUUAGGUUGUCGUGCAGGGGAUGCCCAUCACUUACUGUGAAAAAAUUAGAGUGUUCAAAGCAGGCUUAUGCCGUUGAAUAUAUUAGCAUGGAAUAAUGAGAUAGGACUUUUUUGCUAUUUUGUUGGUUUGCGCAAGAAGGUAAUGAUUAAUAGGGACAGUUGGGGGUAUUCGUAUUCCAUUGUCAGAGGUGAAAUUCUUGGAUUUUUGGAAGACGAACUACUGCGAAAGCAUUUACCAAGGAUGUUUUCAUUAA